rnacentral:misc_RNA from 1 species
AACGCACCUUGCGCUCUAUGGCAAUCCGUAGAGCAUGCCUGUUUGAGUGCCAUGAAAUCUCCCACCACAAGCGGUUUUUAUGAAACGGCUUGGCGGACGGGGUCUUGAUGGUCGCCGCUGCCUGUGCUUAACUGCCUCUGUGCACAUCCCGAUUUCACUUGUGGGCUAAAAUCAGGUAGGAUCACCCGCCGAACUUAA